UACGUAGGGUGCGAGCGUUAAUCGGAAUUACUGGGCGUAAAGCGUGCGCAGGCGGUUGUGCAAGACAGAUGUGAAAUCCCCGGGCUUAACCUGGGGAAUUGCAUUUGUGACUGCACGGCUAGAGUGUGGUCAGAGGGGGGUAGAAUUCCACGUGUGAGCAGUGAAAAUGCGUAGAUAUGUGGAGGAAUACCGAUGGCGAAGGCAGCCCCCUGGGAUAACUACUGACGCCUCAUGCACGAAAGCGUGGGGAGCAAACAGG
rnacentral:rRNA from 1 species